rnacentral:rRNA from 1 species
UACGGGGGGGAGCAAGCGUUGUUCGGAUUUACUGGGCGUAAAGGGCGCGUAGGCGGCCACCGCAAGUCGACUGUGAAAUCUCCGGGCUUAACCCGGAAAGGUCAGCCGAUACUGCGGGGCUAGAGUGCAGAAGGGGCAACUGGAAUUCUCGGUGGUAGCGGUGAAAUGCGUAGAUAUCGAGAGGAACACCUGCGGCGAAGGCGGGUUGCUGGGCUGACACUGACGCUGAUGCGCGAAAGCUAGGGGAGCGAACGGG